rnacentral:rRNA from 1 species
GAAACGACUGCUAAGACUGGAUAGGAAACAAAAAGGCAUCUUUUUGUUUUUAAAAGACCUUCUUACGAAGGUAUGCUUAAAGAGGGGCUUGCGCCACAUUAGUUAGUUGGUAGGGUAAAAGCCUACCAAGACGAUGAUGUGUAGCUGGACUGAGAGGUUGAACAGCCACAUUGGGACUGAGACACGGCCCAAACUCCUACGGGAGGCAGCAGUAGGGAAUUUUCGGCAAUGGAGGAAACUCUGACCGAGCAACGCCGCGUGAACGAUGAAGUAUUUCGGUAUGUAAAGUUCUUUUAUUGAAGAAGAAAAAGUAGUGGAAAAACUAUAUUGACGUUAUUCAAUGAAUAAGCCCCGGCUAACUAUGUGCCAGCAGCCGCGGUAAGACAUAGGGGGCGAGCGUUAUCCGGAAUUAUUGGGCGUAAAGGGUGCGUAGGCUGUUAGAUAAGUCUAUAAUUUAAUUUCAGUGCUUAACGCUGUCUUGUUAUAGAAACUGUCUUGACUAGAGUGAGAUAGAGGCAAGCGGAAUUCCAUGUGUAGCGGUAAAAUGUGUAAAUAUAUGGAGGAACACCAGAAGCGUAGGCGGCUUGCUGGGUCUUUACUGACGCUGAGGCACGAAAGCGUGGGUAGCAAACAGGAUUAGAUACCCUGGUAGUCCACGCCGUAAACGAUGAGUACUAAGUGUCGGGGUAAAACUCGGUACUGAAGUUAACACAUUAAGUACUCCGCCUGAGUAGUACGUACGCAAGUAUGAAACUUAAAGGAAUUGACGGGACUCCGCACAAGCGGUGGAUCAUGUUGUUUAAUUCGAAGAUACACGAAAAAUCUUACCAGGUCUUGACAUACUCUGCAAAGCUAUAGAAAUAUAGUGGAGGUUAUCAGGGAUACAGGUGGUGCAUGGUUGUCGUCAGUUCGUGUCGUGAGAUGUUAGGUUAAGUCCUAAAACGAGCGCAACCCUUGUCGUUAAUUGCCAGCACGUAAUGGUGGGGACUUUAGCGAGACUGCCAAUUAAACAUUGGAGGAAGGUGAGGAUUACGUCAAAUCAUCAUGCCCCUUAUGAUCUGGGCUACAAACGUGAUACAAUGGCUGUGACAAAGAGUAGCUGAAACGCGAGUUUUUAGCCAAUCUCAAAAAAGCAGUCUCAGUUCGGAUUGAAGUCUGUAACUCGACUUCAUGAAGUUGGAAUCGCUAGUAAUCGCGAAUCAGCAUGUCGCGGUGAAUACCUUCCCGGGGUUUGUACACACCGCCCGUCAAAUCACGA